UACGUAGGGUGCGAGCGUUAAUCGGAAUUACUGGGCGUAAAGCGUGCGCAGGUGGUCUGCUAAGACAGGUGUGAAAUCCCUGGGCUCAACCUAGGAAUUGCGCUUGUGACUGGCGGGCUAGAGUACGGUAGAGGGGGGUGGAAUUCCUGGUGUAGCAGUGAAAUGCGUAGAGAUCAGGAGGAACACCGAUGGCGAAGGCAGCCCCCUGGGCCUGUACUGACGCUGAAGGCGAAAGCCAGGGGAGCGAACGGG
rnacentral:rRNA from 1 species